UUCGUCGUGUUCGAGAGAGAGACUGACGAAAUCAAAUUCAGGAAGGUUGAGAAAGAGAGAAUACUGAGAGAUCAUGAAUGAGGCUGAUGGAUGGGGAACGUUCUGAUUUCCCAAUCAAUCAUAUGCGAGUCUUGUCUCGGUGACAAUCCUUUACGUUCGAAUGGAAUGCAAGAUCUGUACCCGACCUUUCACGGUGUUUAGGUGGCGACCUGGGCGGGAUGAGAGGUUCAAGAAGACUGAAGUUUGUUAGACAUGCUGCAAGCUGAAGCAUGUAUCUCAAGUUUGUCUCUUGGAUAAACUGAGUAUGGUCUUCCGGUUCAGGUCAGAGACACGGCGCUCAACAUUAGUACUCAUGAUUCUAUCCCAAAGAGUGCUGUGAACCGGGAGUUUUUCGCUGAAGAGCAUUAUCGAAAGACGAGAGAGCUGAACUAGAUUACGAGUCUUCUUUUGGGAAGAUUCGAUCUAAUGAUACCAUUCGUAUGCUUCAAAGAACAACGCCAUACUACAAAAGGAACCGAGCACAUGUUUGUAGUUUCUUCAUCAGGGGAGAGUGUACAAGAGCUGCUGAGUGUCCAUACCUUCAGGAGAGUUGUCCCAGCAGAACAUUAAAGACCGUUACUAUGGGUUACCAAACUACUGGCUUUCAUUUUCUUCCCGCAGUUUCUUGAUUUGGUAUUUCCUAUUGGCUAGUUAUAAUCGUGAUUUUGGCACAUUCUCAACUUAAACAUCUCAGAAAGCUUGAGCGAGGUCCCUUCACUUCCUCCUAUGUAUCCUGGAUCUUCUGUGGUCACAAUCGGAUACAAUAUGUAUGUGAUCGGUGGUUUGACCGGGUUGAAUCAACCUGUAUCGACUGUGUUUGUCCUCGACUGUAGAUUCCACACGUGGGACCAUCUCCCAAGUAUGCAUAGGGCUCGCUACCGUGCAGCUGCCGGAGUCAUUGACAGAAAGAUCUAUGUCAUCGGAGGUUUGCCUUACCUCAGAUACUCUGUGUGUAAAAUGGCGAAUGUGGGUGGGAAGCUGAUGGUUUUGGCCACUUAAAAAACCACGUAUAAUGAUACUUGGUGCAUAGAGAUCACGUUAGAACGACGUGAAGGAGGUGAGAUUUGGGGGAAGGUCGAUUCAAAGGCGAUUGUGCUUAUCUCCGGGACCUCGCCUUCUUUUGAUCUUUGUUGCUCUGUUACGGUUUGAUGAUCUAUGGGAUGGUUUCUUGCAGUUGAAGGUGAAGAAGGGUCUUUUAUUACAUCUACUGUUUUUAGCUACCAGCUUGUUGAUAUGAGAGCAAAUAUGAAGCAAAAAGGGGUGCAGAAGCUGUUUUAUCUGACACCUUAAAGAGUAAUUCGUCUUCCUUCUUAACCUUCGUGCAAGAAUGUGAUCACUUUUAACAGAAUAGGCCUUGUGUAGAGUUGGCCACUCUUUCUCUUUCUACUGAUUCUUACGAGACUUGUUGGAAUGCAACUUUGGUUUAACUAGUUUCUACUUCUUUC